CCUAUAUAUAUAGCAUCAAAAGUUUGCAUUUUUACCACACAAUUUCGAUCAUUACUAUUAUCUCUAAUACUUCAUUACACAUCAAAAGGAAAUCAGAAAUGAAACGUUCCAUUUUCGCAGCUCUUCUCGUGAUGCUUAUCCUCUCUUCAUUUAUUUGUGCAGAAAGCCAAGUAUUUAAGACGUGUGACGAAGAACUUCCUUCAAAUGGGGAAUUGUGUGCUGCGUAUAAAUGCCAAUUCGAUUGCAAGAGAGCGCGUGGAUACGGUGCCACGGGACGUUGUAAUAAGAUAAGACAAAUUUGUGAAUGUCGCUACCAGUGUAAUAAUCCUCCAAAAUAAUGUUUUGUUACAUUCAACUAUAAUAAAAUGGAUUUAUCAAAAAAAAAAAAAACUAUAAUGAAAUGGAUCCUGUUAUUCUAGAUCAAAGCUUUUCUAUAUAUUGAAGUUGUGCCCAUGACAUGUUAUUAUUUAUC